GAGGGUAUAGCUCAGUGGUAGAGCACAUACGUAGCAUGCAGAAGGUCCUGGGUUCAAUUCCCAGUACCUCCA
rnacentral:tRNA from 1 species